CGGAACGGGUGAGUAACGCGUGAGGAACCUGCCUCAAAGAGGGGGACAACAGUUGGAAACGACUGCUAAUACCGCAUAAGCCCACGGCUCGGCAUCGAGCAGAGGGAAAAGGAGUGAUCCGCUUUGAGAUGGCCUCGCGUCCGAUUAGCUGGUUGGUGAGGUAACGGCCCACCAAGGCGACGAUCGGUAGCCGGACUGAGAGGUUGAACGGCCACAUUGGGACUGAGACACGGCCCAG
rnacentral:rRNA from 1 species